GCAGUCCAGUGGUUAGGACUUGGCACUUUUACUGCUGGGGCCCAGGUUUAAUACCUGGGCG
rnacentral:tRNA from 1 species